rnacentral:rRNA from 1 species
UUAUAUAUGAAGAAAAUCUCAACUUUAUUAGAAGAGACGCAUUUAUUAGAUAAAAAGCCAGUUCAUGCUUUUAYAGUAUGAAAAUUGGUGAUUUAUAAUAACUUAGCAAAUCGCAAAGUGAAAACAGGCGAUAAAUCAUUCAAGUUUCUGACCUAUCAGCUUUCGACGGUAUGGUAUUGGCUUACCGUGGCAGUGACGGUUAACGGGGGAUUAGGGUUCGAUUCCGGAGAGGGAGCCUGAGAAACGGCUACCACAUCUAAGGAAGGCAGCAGGCGCGCAAAUUACCCAAUUCUAACAGUUUGAGAGAGGUAGUAACAAGAAAUAACAAUACAAGGCAGUUAAAAUGCUUUGUAAUUGGAAUGAUAGAAAUUUAAACCCUUUUUAAAGUAUCAAUUGGAGGGCAAGUCUGGUGCCAGCAGCCGCGGUAAUUCCAGCUCCAAUAGCGUAUAUUAAAAUUGUUGCAGUUAAAAAGCUCGUAGUUGAAGUUCUGCUGAAAGUAACCGGUCUGCUUUUAAUAAAAGUGGUAUCUUGGUAUGUAUUUAGCAAUGAUGUCCUUUGAAGUGUUUUUUACUUUAUUGUAAUAAAGCAUAUUCAGGACUUUUACUUUGAGAAAAUUAGAGUGUUUCUAGCAGGCUGACGCUUUGAAUACUGCAGCAUGGAAUAAUAAA